UGGGGAAUAUUGGACAAUGGGCGAAAGCCUGAUCCAGCCAUGCCGCGUGUGUGAAGAAGGUCUUCGGAUUGUAAAGCACUUUAAGUUGGGAGGAAGGGCAGUAAGCGAAUACCUUGCUGUUUUGACGUUACCGACAGAAUAAGCACCGGCUAACUCUGUGCCAGCAGCCGCGGUAAUACAGAGGGUGCAAGCGUUAAUCGGAAUUACUGGGCGUAAAGCGCGCGUAGGUGGUUCGUUAAGUUGAAUGUGAAAGCCCCGGGCUCAACCUGGGAACUGCAUCCAAAACUGGCGGGCUAGAGUAGGGGAGAGGGGGGUGGAAUUUCCUGCGUAGCGGUGAAAUGCGUAGAUAUAGGAAGGAACACCAGUGGCGAAGGCGACCACCUGGGCUCAUACUGACACUGAGGUGCGAAAGCGUGGGGAGCAAACAGG
rnacentral:rRNA from 1 species